rnacentral:rRNA from 1 species
AUACAGGGUGACAGCCCCGUACACAAAAGCGCAUGUGUUGUGAGCUCGAUGAGUAGGGCGGGACACGUGGUAUCCUGUCUGAAUAUGGGGGGACCAUCCUCCAAGGCUAAAUACUCCUGACUGACCGAUAGUGAACCAGUACCGUGAGGGAAAGGCGAAAAGAACCCCGGCGAGGGGAGUGAAAAAGAACCUGAAACCGUGUACGUACAAGCAGUGGGAGCACAGGUUUACCUGUGUGACUGCGUACCUUUUGUAUAAUGGGUCAGCGACUUAUAUUCUGUAGCAAGGUUAACCGUAUAGGGGAGCCGGAGGGAAACCGAGUCUUAAUUGGGCGUUAAGUUGCAGGGUAUAGACCCGAAACCCGGUGAUCUAGCCAUGGGCAGGUUGAAGGUUGGGUAACACUAACUGGAGGACCGAACCGACUAAUGUUGAAAAAUUAGCGGAUGACCUGUGGCUGGGGGUGAAAGGCCAAUCAAACCGGGAGAUAGCUGGUUCUCCCCGAAAGCUAUUUAGGUAGCGCCUCGUGAAUUCAUCUCCGGGGGUAGAGCACUGUUUCGGCUAGGGGGCCAUCCCGGCUUACCAACCCGAUGCAAACUGCGAAUACCGGAGAAUGUUAUCACGGGAGACACACGGCGGGUGCUAACGUCCGUCGUGAAGAGGGAAACAACCCAGACCGCCAGCUAAGGUCCCAAAGUCAUGGUUAAGUGGGAAACGAUGUGGGAAGGCCCAGACAGCCAGGAUGUUGGCUUAGAAGCAGCCAUCAUUUAAAGAAAGCGUAAUAGCUCACUGGUCGAGUCGGCCUGCGCGGAAGAUGUAACGGGGCUAAACCAUGCACCGAAGCUGCGGCAGCGACGCUUAUGCGUUGUUGGGUAGGGGAGCGUUCUGUAAGCCUGUGAAGGUGUGUCGUGAGGCAU